UUAAAUAUACAUUAUAAUUAUUGACAUGCAUGCAUCAACAUAGGCUUUUAAUUAUUGAGUUAACAAGGUGUGUAGAUGUAAGUAUUGAGAGAGUAAUUACCGUGAUAGAGAUAUCUAAUAGUGGUAUGGAGGAGGAGGAGAUUUGUAGAGGUAAGGAUGGUGUGGUGGAGAGUAGUGGUGUACUGGAGGAGGAGGAGGUGAUUUGUACACGUACUUUUCCUUUGGUGGUGGUGGAGAGUGGUAAACCGGAGGAGGAGAGUAGUGCUUAACCGGAGGAGGAGGGGACUUGUAUACGUAAUGUUUCUUUGGUGGUGGUGGGGAAUGGUAGACUGGAGGGGGAGAGUAGUGCUUAACCGGAGGAGGAGGGGACUUGUAUACGUAAUGUUUCUUUGGUGGUGGUGGGGAAUGGUAAACUGGAGGGGGAGAGUAGUGCUUCACCGGUGGUGGUGGAGAUUUGUACACGUAGUGUUUCUUUGGUGGGGGUGGGGAAUGGUAAACCGGAGGAGGAGAGUAGUGCUUAACUGGAGGAGGAGGAGAUUUGUACACGUAGUGUUUCUUUGGUGGUGGUGGGGAAUGGUAAACCGGAGGAGGAGAGUAGUGCUUAACCGGAGGAGGAGGAGAUUUGUACACGUAGUGUUUCUUUGGGGGUGGUGGGGAAUGGUAAACCGGAGGAGGUGAGUAGUGCUUCACCGGUGGUGGUGGAGAUUUGUAGACGUAAUGCUUUUUAGGUGGGGGUGGGGAAUGGUAAACCGGAGGGGGAGAGUAGUGCUUAACCGGAGGAGGAGGAGACUUGUAAACGUAAUGUUUUUUUGGUGGUGGUGGUGAGUGGUAAACCGGAGGGGGAGAGUAGUGCUUAACCGGAGGAGGAGGAGACUUGUAUACGUAAUGUUUCUUUGGUGGUGGUGGUGAGUGGUAAACCG
rnacentral:lncRNA from 1 species